ACCACACUUGCACUUACCAACCCACACUACUGUUAAUGUUGUAAACAUCAAGUUACAAGUUCAUCUACUCAAAUUGCACACACAUAAUUGCAUUAAGUUACAGGUUCAUCUCUUGCAAUUGUUUAAUCAAAGAUGUCAUAACUUCUACAUUCCUUUCAGCUGUCAUAGGUACCUUGCCUUCAAUUUUGAGCUUUAUAGUUGAACCUUCAUUCUUUGCUUCAGUCUAAACUUUCUCUGUCUUAAGCUUGUCCUGUUCUUCCUUCUUUUUCUUUGCUACAUUAAACCAUUCAAAACCAUCACAGAUUGGUUGGUUAACACACCUGAAAAAUUUGUCCCCUUCACUCCAUGGUCGAGUGCUUUUGUAGAGCUUCAUAGGAUAUUUUUUGCAGUUAACACACAAGUAGUCUAUCCAUUCACAGUCAUUCUUCCAAUGAUCGACCUCCCAACAUACAAAGCAUCGCUUCAUAUUCACAUAAGAAAAGAAAAAAUUAAAUUUCAAAAAUUUCAAAGAUUUAUACAAUUAACACUCCAAAAGUAUCAAAAUACCUUAGAGCUCGAAGACGAAGCUUCGCGACCAGCCAUUACAACCAAGAAUACCUUCAAUUUGGUUGUUGUAUUACUGUUAGAGAAGAGCCCUAAAGUUUUAUUUUGAGGAAGAAGAUAACCCAAUUUUAUAGUGAGGAAGAAAAUACCCACAACGGUUAUAAAACAAACGGUUAGGAUUAGAUUUGGGGAAAAGAGAGGAAUGGACGGUUUAGAUUAGAAACGGGUAAUUUG
rnacentral:lncRNA from 1 species